rnacentral:rRNA from 1 species
GUGGGGAAUAUUGGACAAUGGGCGAAAGCCUGAUCCAGCCAUGCCGCGUGUGUGAAGAAGGUCUUCGGAUUGUAAAGCACUUUAAGUUGGGAGGAAGGGCAGUAAGUUAAUACCUUGCUGUUUUGACGUUACCGACAGAAUAAGCACCGGCUAACUUCGUGCCAGCAGCCGCGGUAAUACGAAGGGUGCAAGCGUUAAUCGGAAUUACUGGGCGUAAAGCGCUCGUAGGUGGUUUUGUAAGUUGGAGGUGAAAUCCCCGGGCUCAACCUGGGAAAUGACUCCAAAACUGCAUGACUAGAGUACGGUAGAGGGUAGUGGAAUUUCCUGUGUAGCGGUGAAAUGCGUAGAUAUAGGAAGGAACACCAGUGGCGAAGGCGACUACCUGGACUGAUACUGACACUGAGGUGCGAAAGCGUGGGGAGCAAACAGGAUUAGAUACCCGGGUACC